ACGAGGUAGGGCCUCCUUCGGGAGCCCGAACUCCCCACCCUUUGCUGUUGCGAACAAGUUGCUUCGGCGGGACCCCCCCGUGGGGGACCGGGCGUCAGCCCGGGCAGCGCCCGCCGGGGGACCAAACCAACUCUUUGUCGAACAAUGUAGUCGGAGUACAAUCGUACAAUCAAAACA
rnacentral:misc_RNA from 1 species